rnacentral:tRNA from 1 species
AANGGAGUGGAGCAGUUGGCAGCUCGUCGGGCUCAUAACCCGAAGGUCGUAGGUUCAAGUCCUGCCUCCGCAACCA